ACCCGCUGAACUUAAGCAUAUCAAUAAGCGGAGGAAAAGAAACCAACAGGGAUUGCCCUAGUAACGGCGAGUGAAGCGGCAACAGCUCAAAUUUGAAAUCUGGCUCUUUCAGAGUCCGAGUUGUAAUUUGCAGAGGGCGCUUUGGUGUUGGCAGCGGUCCAAGUUCUUUGGAACAGGACGUCACAGAGGGUGAGAAUCCCGUACGUGGUCGCUAGCCCUCACCGUGUAAAGCCCCUUCGACGAGUCGAGUUGUUUGGGAAUGCAGCUCUAAAUGGGAGGUAAAUUUCUUCUAAAGCUAAAUACUGGCCAGAGACCGAUAGCGCACAAGUAGAGUGAUCGAAAGAUGAAAAGCACUUUGGAAAGAGAGUCAAAAAGCACGUGAAAUUGUUGAAAGGGAAGCGCUUGCAGCCAGACUUGCCUGUAGUUGCUCAUCCGGGCUCUCGCCCGGUGCACUCUUCUACGGGCAGGCCAGCAUCAGUCCGGGCGGUUGGAUAAAUGCCUGCUAAAUGUACCUCUCCUCGGGGAGGACUUAUAGGGUAGGCGGCAUACGACCAGCCUGGACUGAGGUCCGCGCAUCUGCUAGGAUGCUGGCGUAAUGGCUGU
rnacentral:rRNA from 1 species